rnacentral:lncRNA from 1 species
AAAGAAGAGGAAACGGAUCAAAAGAGGGUGUGACUAUAUACUGAGGAUCAGUUACUUUAGGAGGAGUAUCAAUAUCAUACUGCCACCUAAGAAUCCAGGGGAUUUUAUAUUUACUCACGAAUAGAAGGACUGAGGGAAAACCUUCAUAUUUCGGAUUGGGUUUACUGUGAAUACAAAAGUGGUUAAAUUGAACCUUUAGGAGAUCUGGAAGGAGAUCAUAAGUGGAACCGAAUCUGUGCCACCAAUGAA